CCUACGGGUGGCAGCAGUGGGGAAUAUUGCACAAUGGGGGAAACCCUGAUGCAGCGACGCCGCGUGAGUGAAGAAGUAUUUCGGUAUGUAAAGCUCUAUCAGCAGGGAAGAAAAUGACGGUAACUGAUUAAGAAGCCCCGGCUAACUACGUGCCAGCAGCCGCGGUAAUACGUAGGGGGCAAGCGUUAUCCGGAUUUACUGGGUGUAAGGGGAGCGUAGACGGCAGCACAAGUCGGGAGUGAAAUGCCGGGGCUUAACCCCGGAACUGCUUUGGAAACUGUGCAGCUAGAGUGCAGGAGAGGUAAGUGGAAUUCCUGGUGUAGCAGUGAAAUGCGUAGAUAUUAGGAGGAACACCAGUGGCGAAGGCGGGUUACUGGACUGUAACUGACGUUGAGGCUCGAAGGCGUGGGGAGCAAACAGGAUUAGAUACCCCUGUAGUC
rnacentral:rRNA from 1 species